rnacentral:rRNA from 1 species
CCUACGGGAGGCAGCAGUGGGGAAUAUUGGACAAUGGGGGCAACCCUGAUCCAGCCAUGCCGCGUGUGUGAAGAAGGCCCUCGGGUUGUAAAGCACUUUCAGUGAGGAAGAACGCCUGGUGGUUAAUACCCAUCAGGAAAGACAUCACUCACAGAAGAAGCACCGGCUAACUCCGUGCCAGCAGCCGCGGUAAUACGGAGGGUGCGAGCGUUAAUCGGAAUUACUGGGCGUAAAGCGCGCGUAGGUGGCUUGAUAAGCCGGUUGUGAAAGCCCCGGGCUCAACCUGGGAACGGCAUCCGGAACUGUCAAGCUAGAGUGCAGGAGAGGAAGGUAGAAUUCCCGGUGUAGCGGUGAAAUGCGUAGAGAUCGGGAGGAAUACCAGUGGCAAAGGCGGCCUUCUGGACUGACACUGACACUGAGGUGCGAAAGCGUGGGUAGCAAACAGGAUUAGAUACCCUAGUAGUC